UUAAACCAUGCAAAGAUUGAAUUAAGCAAUUAUGUGCAUACUGCAUACAGACGAUUACUGCUGGCAAAGCGCUUCCUUCAUCUUAGUCACCCUGUGUAUCUCGUGAGCUAUAAGUUUGGAGGCGGGAUCUUGGAUGUAUCUCUGAAGCGUCCAAACUGCUCAUGGUGGAGGUGGAGGUGCACCUUGGAAACAGAUCGGGAUGGAUCAUCACAUUUGAAUCUCCGCCAUCGGACUUGCAACUGGGUGCAAAUGACUAGCAUGCAAAUAAGUUGACAAAGCUAUCCCCCAAGUUCAGCCUCAUCUUUUUCGGGUCUAUCAUCUCAGGCACGAGAGGCGUUCGAGGGGAUAGCUUUGGUUUUCCGAUUAGGGUCCACCCCUCCCCAUCCCAGUUAUGGCAUGCCAGUAAUUCCUUCCGAGUGCUUGGGAAUCUAAAGUUCGCAUGAAUGCCUGAUUGACUUCGUCCACUAUUUUCUAGUGACGAGGUGUCGAGGGUUAUCUUGGAAAUCUGGUCGAGGGAUGAAAAAAAUCUGAACAUGCGAGAAUCGUGUUGGACCACGCCAAGAUGUGCUUCACAAAAGGUUGAUGCUCAAAUGUCGAACAAAAACUGACACUCGAGACAUUCCUUGGCUUAAAAAACGAAUUGUUCUCUCUGCUUUUACUCUAAAGGAUUGUGAAAAAACAAAUUCUAAUGGAAUUCUGGCUUUCUGUGGCCAAGGCAUCAAAAGCUGGCAUGACAUUUAGGGCAUGGGGAUUUGUUCGUGGCCACACUCAACCUUUUGUCGACAGAAAUGUUUCCGGUCUGAGAAGGCACUGCAAGAAUCGGAUUUCUCAAGUUUAUCCGUCCCGAAUCUGGCUAAAUUCUUGCCUGGACCCGUGGGAGGGAAAGACAACGCCCCCUCAUGACUUGACUGGGAAGUCUUGGCGAACGUCGUCUCAAGAUGUUGCAAGCGGCGCUCGAAAUCCUUUGAUUGGAAUUCGAUUUCUUUUCCGUGGAAUGAAUGUGAACGCACCGAUUGAUGAGGAUACUCUGACCCGGACUGUCCUCAGUUCAUAAUCUUUUAUGUGGAGAGAGCUCUCUCAAGUUUUUGACCCGAAAGUUUCAAGUUGAUCCCUUCUUUCAAGUGUUCUCUUUGCCGGCAUCUUCCACUUCUCUUUGAGCAAAGAGAUGUGAUCUAAAAUGUGCUUCCUUACCGCUUCGUCCAUAACAAGUAGGUGGUGACAGACUUACCGUUGUCUAAAAACAUGUUCCGUAGCCACCAUUGUACACUUUAACAUGGAGUAAACAUCCUUUUCCAAAAUGACCACAACCACCAAAAUGUGUCAGAAAAAGUGUCUUCCUUGCUUUGCGAGUCGCCGGCACACGUCUCAACUGUCACAGAAUCUCCGAGCAACUGAAACCAUGAUGAUGAAGAAGAGGCAGCUAGCCGUGAGAAGCGGCAUCCCUGAAAAAUCUCCGAAGACAUGCAAACUUGCCCGCGUCCUCCGUCUCAGUUUUCGCGUGAGAGUGUGGCUGCGGCGGGCCCUUGGUUUUCCGGCGGCCGUCAGAGGCGCUGCUUGUGAGCAAGUUGAGAUUUGAAAAUUGAGAAUUGAGAAGCGUCAAGCAAGCAAGCAUGAUGAUCCAUCCUGCAUUGGCGGUUCACGUGGUUAGAAGUCAUGCAAAUUGCUUGAUGAUCAAGAGGAAGGACCUGAAGAAGACGAAGAAAAAGAUGAACAAGACGAGGAGGACGGAAAAGCGGAUCGCGGAGUACUCGUAUUCGGAAAGGAUUUGGUCUGACGGCCUGGUUACACAAUGAAUAUGUCAAUCCGUUCCUCCAAGGACUUAACUCGACCUCUGCAUUGUGUAUGUAUAGUGGUAGUCCGUCCGUUCGUUCUUCCAUAAUACCUACUAUGUGGGUUUGAGAGCCCACCACCGGAAACCAUUGAUCAAUUAAUUGCUCACAUUGAUUUCGUAACAUCCCUCGAUUACAUUCGCUGAUCAUGGAACCCUCCCAUCUGCAUGUCAGCGGAACUUGAAAUUGUCAUUCUUCGCAUUCUCCAACGGAUUCACCAUUCACCAAUCACCGUCUACCCUACGACCGACGAUUCGUGCGAUUCUUGCCAUUAUUACCAAGGGUCAUGACUAGCAUUUCGUGGUGGAAGGUGGGAGGUAUUGAAUGGAUAUCAUAAAAAGCUACUGACCAAAUAACACACUAUUAGAUUUUUAUCCUUUGACAUCGAGUAAUGAUGUAUAUAUGUAGACCCUCUUCUGUUUUUCGUAGCACCCUUGCUUGCCUUCUGAACCAAGAUGUAUAAUUCUUUUCCAUGAAA